rnacentral:lncRNA from 1 species
GUCUAGCAUUGUCUUGCAUUAGGAGGAACCCAGGGCCAACCGCACCAGCAUAUGGUCUCACAAGGGGUCUGAGGAUCUCAUCUCGGUACCUAAUGGCAGUCAGGCUACCUCUGGCGAGCACAUGGAGGGCUGUGCGGCCCCCCCAAAGAAAUGCCACCCCACACCAUGACUGACCCACCGCCAAACCGGUCAUGCUGGAGGAUGUUGCAGGCAGCAGAACGUUCUCCACGGCGUCUCCAGACUCUGUCACGUCUGUCACAGCGUCGUGUAG